UACGGGGGGGGCAAGCGUUGUUCGGAAUUACUGGGCGUAAAGGGCUCGUAGGCGGCCAACUAAGUCAGACGUGAAAUCCCUCAGCUUAACUGGGGAACUGCGUGUGAGACUGGCAGGCUUGAGUGAAGGAGAGGAACGCGGAAUUCCAGGUGUAGCGGUGAAAUGCGUAGAUAUCUGGAGGAACACCGGUGGCGAAGGCGGCGUUCUGGACUGUAUCUGACACUGAGGAACGAAAGCCAGGGGAGCAAACGGG
rnacentral:rRNA from 1 species